GCAGCCACCAGCCGGGGGCCACUGGUGUGAAAUGUCCGGGACAGGUGAACCCACAGCAACAGGAAACGGUGGUGGCUGCAGGGGCGGGGGAGGGAGGGCUGGCUCGGAGGACAGGUGUCAUUUGCAGGGCUAGGACUGCUCCAGAACAAGACAGAGUUAAUCGUU